AUUGAACGCUGGCGGCAUGCCUUACACAUGCAAGUCGAACGGUAACAGGUCUUCGGAUGCUGACGAGUGGCGAACGGGUGAGUAAUACAUCGGAACGUGCCCGAUCGUGGGGGAUAACGGAGCGAAAGCUUUGCUAAUACCGCAUACGAUCUACGGAUGAAAGCAGGGGACCGCAAGGCCUUGCGCGGACGGAGCGGCCGAUGGCAGAUUAGGUAGUUGGUGGGAUAAAAGCUUACCAAGCCGACGAUCUGUAGCUGGUCUGAGAGGACGACCAGCCACACUGGGACUGAGACACGGCCCAGACUCCUACGGGAGGCAGCAGUGGGGAAUUUUGGACAAUGGGCGAAAGCCUGAUCCAGCCAUGCCGCGUGCAGGAUGAAGGCCUUCGGGUUGUAAACUGCUUUUGUACGGAACGAAAAGACUCCUUCUAAUAUAGGGGGUCCAUGACGGUACCGUAAGAAUAAGCACCGGCUAACUACGUGCCAGCAGCCGCCGUAACAC
rnacentral:rRNA from 1 species